GGCGGCGUGCUUAACACAUNCAGGUCGAACGGUGGUAGCAAUACCACAGUGGCGCACGGGUGAGGAACACGUAGCUUAUCUGCCCCGAAGUGUGGGAUAACGUUCCGAAAGGAAUGCUAAUACCGCAUAAGCUCCCGAGCUGUAGAGGCUUGGGAGAAAAGGCGCAAGUCGCUUUGGGAGGAGGCUGCGGCCCAUCAGGUAGUUGGUGCGGUAACGGCGCACCAAGCCAACGACGGGUAGGGGACCUGAGAGGGUGACCCCCCACACUGGGACUGAGACACGGCCCAGACUCCUACGGGAGGCAGCAGUGAGGAAUAUUGCCCAAUGGGCGCAAGCCUGAGGCAGCGACGCCGCGUGGGUGAAGAAGGCCUUCGGGUCGUAAAGCCCUUUUCUGCGUGACGAGACAAGGACGGUAGCGCAGGAAAAAGUCUCGGCUAACUACGUGCCAGCAGCCGCGGUAAAACGU
rnacentral:rRNA from 1 species